rnacentral:rRNA from 1 species
GCAACCCCUGGUUAGGC